ACUACGGGUGGCAGCAGUGAGGAAUAUUGGUCAAUGGGCGGAAGCCUGAACCAGCCAAGUAGCGUGCAGGAUGACGGCCCUACGGGUUGUAAACUGCUUUUAUACGGGAAUAACGCGCCUUACGUGUAGGGCUUUGCAUGUACCGUAUGAAUAAGGACCGGCUAAUUCCGUGCCAGCAGCCGCGGUAAUACGGAGGGUCCGGGCGUUAUCCGGAUUUAUUGGGUUUAAAGGGAGCGUAGGCCGCAUGUCAAGCGUGCUGUGAAAUGUCCGGGCUCAACCCGGGCCUUGCAGCGCGAACUGGCGUGCUUGAGUCCGCGGAAAGCAGGCGGAAUUCGUCGUGUAGCGGUGAAAUGCUUAGAUAUGACGAAGAACCCCGAUUGCGAAGGCAGCUUGCUGCAGCGGAACUGACGCUGAUGCUCGAAAGCGCGGGUAUCGAACAGGAUUAGAUACCCUAGUAGUC
rnacentral:rRNA from 1 species